AUAGCAACUCAACAAUCAACAGGGCUUUGAAGUGGAAAAGGAGUGGGUGGUGGGGGUGUGUGUGGCUUUAGGGUCUCUGGCUUAGGAAGCUGAGUCUCCGUAGUGCCAUUCAUACAGAUGGAAUGAGAGAAGAAGCAGUUUCAUGGGAAAGUAGUAAAUUUGAUUGAGUAACAAGAGCUUGGGGGAUCCAGAAGAGAGCUAGGUUUGCAGUUCAGGAGUCCAGGAGAGAGUCAGACUGAAAACAUAAGCCCAUGGAUAGUCAGUCAGUGAAGCCAUGGGAAUGAAGAUCACCUAUGGGAAACACAGAUGGAAGAGAAUGUUACAACAAUGAAGUGUGGUCUAUACAAUUAAUUGCUGCAAAGAGCUCAGAAUAGAGUGAUCUGUGAUAUCUUCCCGCUACUCCCAAGUCGGGAGAGAGAGAGAAUGAAGACCCAUUGCUGUACAGGAACAAACUGAACAUGUUGAAGGUCCCGCAAGGCGAGGGUGGCUGGAAUGCAGACACAACACCAGGAGGAACAGGAGAUGGGGCUGACAAGAGAGGCAGGAGUCAGAUCUCAUGGGAACUGUCACCUGCAGUGUUGCAGACCUCUUUGAAUACACCAUGAGCAUUGUGGAUUCUCGCCUCUGGAAAAUAAAAAUCACAUACAGAAAAAUUCAGACAACUUUAAGGAGUUUGAAGAAUCCCUGCUAGUCGUGGACCCAUUUGGGGUUGAUGGAUUCCUGACCAUGACUCCUUGGAUUCAGAAGUUAUGUAAGAUGCAGUUUAACAAACACUGGAAAUCAAACGAGCAUUCUGAGGACAAACAGCAUCUUCCAUACAUCAUCUUCUGGAAUAUCCCAGAUCUGGAUGAGGUCACAGGAAUGUCCAUUCAUAGGGAGCUCUACCUGGAGCUCAGAGAUCAUUGAGAGAGGGUAAUCAUCAUGGAUGUGUCCAAGUGAAGGUAGUUUGGAAAGAAACAAAGUUACCCUUUUUUCUCACUAAACGUCUUAGGGUCCCCAUUAGCAGGAAGGAAGGAAGAGGACAGGUGAGCUCCCUGGUAUUGAUGUAUUUACAGAGAACCUAGACAUCAGCCAUACAUACAGAGGACACUCAUUUGGCCAGAAUUUGGGCUUUGACUUUAAUUAAAUUCCCUUGCUCCCAAUAAAACCUCUCUUAAUCUG